UGGGUUUGCUUUUCUUCUGCUUCCACCUCACGUCCAAAUCUAGCUCCCCUCUGCCUUGCAUGGAGUUGCCUGCUCCCUUUUUGCUGCGUGGCACUGAAAUCAGCAUGAUGCUCCCCAGGAAUACCCAUCUGGAGUGGCUCACCUCAGCUAUGAGUCACUUGGACCUGGAAGAUUCCAUGGUGAGCCCUGGCACCAGGGAAUUAAGGGAAGAAGAGCUCUGGGAGAGCUGCUGUAAGCAAGGAGCACCCACAAAACAGGUCCCCUCCUACACUGGCCACAUCAAGCAAAGCUGUGGCAGCAAAGGCAAAAACACUGCUGGGAGAUAAUGGAUUGGCUGCUUACUGUGAUGGCAGCAGAAAGUGGCCAACAGAAUCAUAGAAUCAUAGAAUAUCUCAAGUUGGAGGUGACCCACAAGGACCACCGAGUCCAACCCCUGGCUCCACACAGCACCACCCAAAAUCCAAACCCUGUGUCUGAGAGCGCUGUCCAAACGCUCCUUGUACUCUGGCAGCCUGUUCCACGCUCACCGCCCUCUGAUGCAGACCCUGUCCCUAACCCCCAGCUGCCCCUCCCCGACACAGCUCCGUGCCGUUCCCUCGGGCCCUGUCGCUGUCAGAGAGCAGAGCUCAGCGCUGCCCCUCCGCUCCCUGUGAGGAGCUGCAGACGCCAUGAGGCCUCCCCUCAGCUCCUCUGCUCUGGGUUGAGCAAACCCAGGGACCUCAGGGCUUCUCCAUCAGGAUCUUUUUACCACCACACCCUGGCAGGUCACCAGCAAGCAAGAGCUGACAAAAAGCAACGCACCUAUGCAACAUUGAACUGUAGUCCAUCCCUCCGAAAUCUACCCAGGGCCAUUUAUGGAAAAUGGAUAUUUUGAAGAUCUCAUUGAAGAUCCGUCUCCAACCAGAAGUAGCAACAGACUAACUGCAAAUAGCAGCCCCAAAAAGUGAAGCCUCAAUGUGAGAUGUCCCUUGAAAGAGUACAUGAGAUAUCUGGUAACAUUUCUUUGUCUAAAGAAGAUUAAUUAUUAUUAUUACCUUAAAUUAUUAUAUUAAUAUGUGUAUUAUUAUCUCCCUUCUUUAUUUUAUUCUGUUUGACACAGGUUUCAUUGCACAAAGUAAGAUUUUAAGAGCACUUCCCUCUUUAAAGUAUGCUUCAUAUUGCCACUACAUAAAUCAGACAUGUAAGCUAUUUUUCUUAAGUAUAUUAACCCAAACAGCAAAGACUCAAGUUCCUCUGGAACUACUCACAUAGAGUAAAUAAUUGGACCUUGAUCUGAUGAAGGCACUUAACAGCAGGCCUAUUUUUAACUCCAUGAGUGCAACCAUUGAAUUCAAAGGGAUUGUUCAGAUGUUUGAGUGCACAUUUAAGUGCAUUGCUGAUCAAGUGUCCUAAUCCUUAUGUUGUUCCAUUGAUUUUGGGGGCUGACAGUGCAGGGUGAUGUCAGGGGGAUGAAGAUUGCAGGACCAAAACCAGGGCUUGCUGAAAUCCCUAUCUCUUUCUGUCACCCCACAUUUCUCUCAUGUCUGGCUCAAAAGAAAGCAAAGACUGUCAUUUGGUUUUGUUUUGGUGGGUUUGGAGUUUGGCUGCUUUAUUUGUUUGUUUAUUUUUAAAAUUCUUCAUGUCUACCUUCCUUGUUGUGCGGCAAUACUCCCUUAGUUCCAUGAGAUGGAGAACACUCCUUCAGCCCCCUCAAAACCAUCUGAAAAGCAUGACCGGGGAACGAUCAGUAAACAAACUUCCAAAUCCUGCAGUUCUUCCCUCUUGUGCCUAAUCUUGAAAGAAGGCUAAUUAAGACCAGCGGCACACUACUCACUGUGCAAAGAUUACUUAUCAGCUUAAUUUGAUACUUUUACCAACAGAUUACAUAUGCUUUCCUCUUCUUCCCCCUGCUCCUUCCACACUCAAGUUAUACGGGGCUGAAGCGGUGCACAGGCAUUUUGCUCUUCCCCUCUUCUCCUUGUCUCACAUGAGACAGAAUUGGUGCUUUCAGGCUCAAGGACCUGAUCUUGCCAAGAGGAGUCUGCUUUUCCUCAGAGCAGACCCAUAUGCCUUUUUCUUCCUAGCAGAUGUACUACCAGAAAAACAGAUUGGUGAAGUGAAGCCUGCUCCUUAAAGGUGAACUGAAAUGCUUGCAUACGGUGUAUAAAACACAGAGUCUGCUGCUUUGAACUGCACGCUUUGCAGGGUGCGUAUUCGAUGCAGCUGUACCAUGAUCAUCCUUGGAAACACGACGAGCGAGUUGAAAAGAGAUUUACGAACCCAAUUUUUCAGAGCUGCGGUAGCUCAGAAUUAUAGAGUUUCUCCAUUCAGGGAAGUGUGAGAGGCCACACUAAGCCUGAUGCAAUUUAAACCACUCCAUAGAUCAUGCUGGACAUCUUCUAAUAUGCACCAUUACAGCCUUGCGGGACCUGAUAAAUGUUCGCCAGGGAAGAGGACGAGGUGUACUCCAUUACAUAUACUAUGACUCCGUCCUCUUCCACUGCACCAUAUCCUCAGUUGAUGUAAAUCAGCAUAGCUGUGGUGCAGUUAAUGAGUUUUAUGCCAAUUUUCACCAUUUGAGGACCUGGACAAUCACGUUUAUUACAGCAGCUCAGAAAAUUCAGUCUUUUUUUUUUUUUUAAACAAUGCCUGCAGGGUUUUAUUCUCUGCGCUGCCUAUGUGACUGCAAGCAAGUCCUCUGCACAUCAGGCUCCACUUUUUGCGCAAGAUCGGGUCUGACAUAGACCUAUCACUCAGGAUGCAGCUGGAGAGCUGCCUUGGCUGCACGCUGCUCCCUGUGCUCAGUCAUGAACAACUGGGAAGUCCUUGGCAAGUCAGUACCAAAUCCUGAAAAUUAGGCUGUAUAAGAGACUAUGACACAUCUACACCAUUAAGUUAUGGGAAUCCUCUGAGAACUGAAGUGAUCACGAGCGAGUGGAGGUGGUAUCAGUCCCAAGGAGACUUCAUGAUACAUGUCAGAAAAAAACAAGGUUUCAAGGUUUUUCCUAUCUUUCUUAUCACAUCUUUGAAGUAAUGUGGGUGAUCCAGGCAAAAAGCAGAUGCUAAAACCCAACUCCAGAUAGGGUGCACGUUGUUGUUUAUUCCACAGCAUUUUCUUUAUGCUCCAUCUGCUUCUGAGGUUUUUGACUUUAAUUGUGUUGAGAACAUUUUAAGAAUUUUGGAAUCCUCAUUAUAAACCCAUUUUUCAGACCUUAGUUUACAUGAGAUGCAUUUGCCACGAUCAGCUUCAAAUACUUCUGGGCAAGUCAGAUUUUCUAGCAGUUAUAUAAGUUUUUUUUCAGUACACCCAUGACUGAUCAUCAUCUUCAUUUGUGCAUCUAUGACUGUGGUGGUUACAGAUCUUGCAAAAAGAGAUCCAUUUUUUUAAUGAUGUUUACACUCAUUUCAGCAAUCACAGUUAUAUAUAGCUACAUACUUGAAAGUCCUAAAUAAACAGGUAACAGGUCACA
ensembl:lncRNA